rnacentral:rRNA from 1 species
AGAGUUUGAUCCUGGCUCAGAGUGAACGCUGGCGGCAGGCCUAAUACAUGCAAGUCGAACGGCAGCACAGGGGAGCUUGCUCCCUGGGUGGCGAGCGGCGGACGGGUGAGGAAUGCAUCGGAAUCUGCCUUCUUGUGGGGGAUAACCUGGGGAAACCCAGGCUAAUACCGCAUGCGCCCUUCGGGGGAAAGCCGGGGACCUUCGAGCCUGGCGCGGGAAGAUGAGCCGAUGCCGGAUUAGCUAGUUGGUGGGGUAAAGGCCUACCUAGGCGACGAUCCUUAUCUGGUCUGAGAGGAUGAUCAGCCACACUGGGACUGAUACACGGCCCAGACUCCUACGGGAGGCAGCUGUGGGGAAUAUUGGACAAUGGGUGAAAGCCUGAUCCU